AUGUCUAGUUCUUCCAGCACUAUUUGUUAAAAAGACUAUCCUGUCUUCACUGAAUUGUCUUUGCUCCCUUGUAAAAGAUCAGUUGACUGUAUUUGGAUGGGUUUAUUUUUGAGCUCGCUAUGCUGGACAGUUGAUCUAUCUGUCCAUUCUUUCACCAAUACCACACUGUCUUGAUUGCUAUAGCUUUAUGUAAGACUUGAAGUUGGGUAGUGUCAGUUCUCUAACUUUGUUCUUUUAAUUUUUUUUUUCCUAUGAAUGAACAAUACUUUUUUAUUUCUCUGCAUGCCUCAUAGUUCUUUUACUUCAGUCAGACAUUUUGAAUAUUAUAACGUGGUAACUCUGGAAAUAUUAGGAUGUGGUAACUCAGAUUCUCCACUUUCCCAGGGUUUGUUGUUGCUGCUUGCUGUGGGAUGUGGUUGUUUAUCUGUUUGGUGAUGUUUCUAAACUAUUUUUGUAAAGACUGUAUUCCUUCUUGUGUGUGGCCAUUGAAUUCUCUGUUCCAUUGGCUUAGUGGUCAGCUAGUGAUUUGACAGAGAUGUUCUUAAACAUCUGGAGAAAAAAACCAAACCAAAACAAAACAAAACAAAAAACACCUGAUCUUUGCAGAUUGGCUGUUUUGAAGCACUUCCUCAGUGCUUAUCCAGGCUGUUUACAACUCUGCCUUAGCUUUUACUUUCUGCUUGCACAGAGCCUAAAAGCCAAUCAGAGGUGAAUGUUUAGGAUUUUCUCAGGUCUUCUCUGAGCAUGCAUCCAGCCCUGGGCAUGUGUAUGGCCUCUAGAUUACCUGGGAUACAUGGAGAUUUCUAGAGUCUUUUUUCUCCCAUGUAUCUCCUUUCCCAGCUUCCUCCUUCUCUGGCUUUCUGGUGUGUCUGCUGCCUGCCCCAUAUCUUAUCCCUUGCUCCAGGUGGCUGUGGCUAGUGUUUGUGCCUUUAAAGGUUUUCGAAACACUGUCCAGGAGGCUGCUGCAGCCCUGGGAAAGUUCUGAGUUGGAUGGGGUGAAACAAAGGCGCAGUCCUGAGUGGACCCCUCAGAAAGCCACCAGACAGGUUAUAACACACAACUACAGUUCUUUGCUAACAAGGUCUGUAUUGCCUUUCCUGGCACAAGCAACUUGUAUAACUGGAAAAAAUAACACAUUAAAUUAUGGGGACAGAAAUAAUUCUGAUAAUGAAUGAAGAACUCAUUGAGAUUUUGUGUUUAGUAAGCUGAGGUUUGAGAGCAAUCAUCCAAUCUUUAUAUAUCUUAAUGUAUAUUAUAUUUCUAGAAUUUGGAUUCAUAGCAAGAUGUUCUGAAGAACAGCAACAACCCUCUAGGGGAUAGCCACUUCAACAUCAUGACCAAAGGCAAAGAAUCUGCUGUCAGAAACCUUCAUUUUGUUUACAUCCUGACCUUAGUAUUUGGAACCAUAAUCCAUUUCUCUGAUGAAAGUGAAUUUGUGGUGGACAUGUCAAAAAUAGGCCUUAUUCGUGUUCGCAAAGACCUGCCACCAAAAACCAAAGUCUUAGAUAUGUCUCAAAACUACAUAUCUGAGCUUCACCUCUCUGACAUCGGCUUUCUCUCAGGGCUGAAAGUUUUGAGACUUUCCCAUAAUAGAAUCCAGUACCUUGAUAUUAGUAUUUUCAAGUUCAACCAGGAUUUGGAAUAUUUGGAUUUAUCUCACAAUUGGUUGCAGAAGAUAUCCUGUCAUCCGAUCACUACAAGUCUCAAGCAUUUAGACCUCUCAUUCAAUGACUUUGAUGCCCUGCCCAUCUGUAAGGAAUUUGGCAACUUGACUCAACUGAAUUUCUUAGGAUUAAGUGCUACAAAGUUACAGCAAUUAGAUCUACUACCAAUUGCUCACUUGCACCUAAGUCGCAUCCUUCUGGAUUUGGAAGGUUAUUUUGUGAAAGAAAAUGAGAAAGAAAGUCUUCAAAUUCUGAAUACAAAGGAACUUCACCUUGUUUUUCACCCAAAUAGCUUCUUCUCUGUCCAAGUGAACAUAUCAGUGAAUAGUUUAGGGUGGUUACAACUGACUAAUAUUAAAUUGAAUGAUGACAACUGUCAAGUUUUAAUUAAAUUUUUGUCAGAACUCACUAGAGGGCCAACCUUACUGAAUUUUACCCUAAACCAUAUGGAAACAACUUGGAAAUGUUUGGUUGGAGUUUUUCAAUUCCUUUGGCCCAAACCUGUAGAAUAUCUCAAUAUUUACAAUUUAACAAUAGUUGAAAGCAUCAAUGAAGAAGUUUUUACUUAUCAUGAAACAACAUUGAAAGCACUGAAUAUAGAACAUAUUAUAAACAGAGUUUUUAUUUUUUCACAGACAGCAUUAUACACAGUGUUUUCUGAGAUGACUGUUACGAUGUUAACCAUAUCAGACACACCUUUUGUACACAUGCUUUGUCCUCAGAAACCAAGCACAUUUACAUUUUUGAACUUCACCCAGAAUAUUUUCACAGAUAGUGUUUUUCAAAAUUGCCACACUUUAGUUAGAUUGGAGACACUUAUUCUACAAAAGAAUGAAUUAAAAGACCUUUUCAAAGUAGGUCUCAUGACUAAGGAUAUGCUCUCUUUGGAAAUACUGGAUGUUAGCUGGAAUUCUUUGGAAUAUGAUAGACAUGAUGGAAAUUGCACUUGGGUUGGGAGUAUAGUGGUGUUAAAUUUAUCUUCAAAUAUACUUACUGACUCUGUUUUCAGAUGUUUACCUCCCAGGGUCAAGGUUCUUGAUCUCCACAAUAACAGAAUAAGGAGCAUCCCUAAAGAUGUCACCAGUCUAGAAACUUUGCAAGAACUCAGUGUUGCUUCCAAUUCUUUGGCCCACCUUCCUGGAUGUGGUACCUUUAGCAGCCUUUCCAUACUGAUCAUUGACUAUAAUUCAGUCUCCAACCCAUCAGCUGAUUUCUUCCAGAGCUGCCAGAAGAUUAGGUCCCUAAAAGCAGGGAACAAUCCAUUCCAAUGUACAUGUGAGUUAAGAGACUUUAUCCAAAGUGUAGGCCAAGUAUCAAGUGAAGUGGUAGAGGGUUGGCCUGAUUCUUAUAAGUGUGAUUAUCCAGAAAGCUAUAAGGGAACCCCACUAAAGGACUUCCGUGUAUCUCCAUUAUCCUGCAACACAGCUCUGCUGAUUGUCACCAUUGGGGUCCCUGGGCUGGUAUUGGCUGUUACCGUGACUGCCCUCUGUAUCUACUUGGAUCUGCCCUGGUAUCUCAGGAUGGUGUGUCAGUGGACCCAGACCCGGCGCAGGGCUAGGAAUGUACCCUUAGGAGAACUCCAAAGAGCUCUCCAGUUCCAUGCUUUUAUUUCAUACAGUGAACAUGAUUCUGCCUGGGUGAAGAAUGAGUUAAUACCAAACCUAGAAAAAGAAGAUAUAAGAAUUUGUCUCCAUGAGAGAAACUUUGUUCCUGGCAAGAGCAUCGUGGAAAAUAUCAUAAACUGCAUUGAGAAAAGUUACAAGUGCAUCUUUGUUUUGUCUCCCAACUUUGUCCAGAGUGAGUGGUGCCAUUAUGAACUCUACUUUGCCCACCACAAUCUCUUCCGUGAAGGAUCUAAUAACUUAAUCCUGAUCUUGCUGGAUCCCAUUCCACAGGACAGCAUUCCUGGCAAGUAUCACAAGCUGAGGGCUCUCAUGGCACAGAGAACUUAUUUGGAAUGGCCCAAGGAGAAGAGCAAACAUGGACUUUUUUGGGCUAAUAUUAGAGCUGCUUUUAAUAUUAAAUUAAUACUAGUCACUGAAAAUGAUGAUGUGAAAGCUUAAAAAGAUCAGACGUCCAACUUAAGAAACCAUCAUUAACUUGAAUUCUGAUGGACACUGUGCUUUCAAGUUAUUGUGUUUGCUGCCUCCAUUAUCUCCAUGCAUUCAGGAAACACUUAAUGAAAACUGUGUUUCAGUUGAACUGGGAACCAGACUGGGGGCUGUGGUGGUGCUCAAACGUGCUGAUGACAGAGGAUUUUAUGUGAGCAGGAGUUUAUGAGACUUCAUGGCAGGAAAGAGUCAACCUCAGAACUGUAUGCAGUGGAGUGUCCUGUGGAUCCUCAUCGGCCUCUGGUCGGCUCUGUUAUCCUGCUCUACUUUGGGGCUGGGGGAGAAAUUAGACCAGAUAUGGAAAAUAAAGAUACUUUUUUUUUUCUUCA